AUUGCCCAGUAACGGCGAGUGAAGCGGCAACAGCUAAAUUUGAAAUCUGGCUCUCGGGCCCGAGUUGUAAUUUGUAGAGGAUGCUUUUGGUGAGGUGCCUUCCGAGUUCCCUGGAACGGGACGCCACAGAGGGUGAGAGCCCCGUCUGGUUGGACACCGAGCCUCUGUAAAGCUCCUUCGACGAGUCGAGUAGUUUGGGAAUGCUGCUCUAAAUGGGAGGUAUAUGUCUUCUAAAGCUAAAUACCGGCCAGAGACCGAUAGCGCACAAGUAGAGUGAUCGAAAGAUGAAAAGAACUUUGAAAAGAGAGUUAAACAGUACGUGAAAUUGUUGAAAGGGAAGCGCUUGUGACCAGACUUGGGCUUGGUUGAUCAUCCGGGGUUCUCCCCGGUGCACUCUUCCGGCUCAGGCCAGCAUCAGUUCGCCCUGGGGGAUAAAGGCAGCGGGAAUGUGGCUCUCUCCGGGGAGUGUUAUAGCCCGCUGCGUAAUACCCUGUGGCGGACUGAGGUUCGCGCAUUCGCAAGGAUGCUGGCGUAAUGGUCAUCAGUGACCCGUCUUGAAACACGGACCAAGGAGUCGUCUUCGUAUGCGAGUGUUCGGGUGUCAAACCCCUACGCGAAAUGAAAGUGAACGCAGGUGAGAGCUUCGGCGCAUCAUCGACCGAUCCUGAUGUUAUCGGAUGGAUUUGAGUAAGAGCAUACGGGGCCGGACCCGAAAGAAGGUGAACUAUGCCUGUGUAGGGUGAAGCCAGAGGAAACUCUGGUGGAGGCUCGCAGCGGUUCUGACGUGCAAAUCGAUCGUCAAACAUGGGCAUGGGGGCGAAAGACUAAUCGAACCUU
rnacentral:rRNA from 1 species